rnacentral:lncRNA from 1 species
AGUGUCGCAUGAAAAUAAAGUCUUUAAGGUAAGAAGGCUUCGCUUGAUUGGUGACAAUGAAAAGGAGCAUUGAAAUUUAAGACAAAGAUCUGAGCACUUUGUCCUCAUUGGAAAGCUGAGAGAUUUCACAUCAUAGAUUACAAAGCAAAAGAGUAGGUGUGGGAUUGAAACAUAUAUUUAAGCUCCUUCCUUGAUUGUUUAAAACAAUUAUGUUUAUGAGAUUUCACAUCAUAGAUUACAAAGCAAAAGAGUAGGUGUGGGAUUGAAACAUAUAUUUAAGCUCCUUCCUUGAUUGUUUAAAACAAUUAUGUUUAUGCACCAGUUUCAAUUCUCAUUGAUUCUCUUUUUCUCUAAUUAAUUAUAUCGAAUUCACUAACAUUAUUGUUCUAUUCAAAUUACAACAAGAAAGAUGAGUAGCUGGGAAUCCAAAGACGUAGAUUUGAGAUCUACACUAUCCUCCUUAUAUAGUGUAAAGAAUUGCAAACCACAAGUAAUGUCGAGAAAUAUGAGCAAGCGUUGCACAUCACAAAUUACAACGAGAAAAAAGAGUAUGUGUGGAAUUGAAGAUACGAAUUUGAGCACUACCUUGUUAUCGGUAGAAAGUUUGAGGGUUUGCAGAUCACAGGUACUUGUCCUAAACCUAAAUGCAGAUGU